rnacentral:rRNA from 1 species
UGAGGAACAUGACCUUCGGCGGGGGAGUAGCCGGCCCAACGGCCGGGUAAUACCGCGUACGACCACAUGGGGACAUCCCUGAGUGGUGAAAGCAGCAAUGCGCCGAUGGAGUGCCUCGCGGCCUAUCAGCUAGUUGGUGAGGUAACGGCUCACCAAGGCAACGACGGGUAGCCGGCCUGAGAGGGCGACCGGCCACACUGGGACUGAGACACGGCCCAGACUCCUACGGGGAGGNAGCG